GUACUUUUGAAUUUUCCAGCACAGCAUCAUUUAACAACUAAGGAAACAAAAACAACUAAAAGCUAAGGAUACAAAAUGCCAAUAAGCUGUUGUUUUUCCUAUAGGACGCCACAAGAAGAGGCAACAGCGUGGUCAGAGUCUGUGGACAAACUUCUGGAAAGCAAAGAUAAAUAUAGACUGUGGAACUCGAGAAAAUAUUACCAGACAUAUUUCAACACCGACUCUCAACUCUUUUGAUCAUGCACAGAAAAUAAUCUAUAGUCUGUUGGCAAAAGACUGUUAUCCCAGGUUUCUGAAAUCAGACAUCUACAUGGCAUAUUGUCAACAGAAUGAAAGGUGACUUUUCCCCAAAUAAAUGUUUGUCAAUGAAUACAGAAUACAUUACCUUCAAUAAUUUAUUCAAAUAUUGUCAUGGUAUACAA